rnacentral:tRNA from 1 species
GAGGUUGUAGCUCAGUGGUAGAGCACUUGCCUAGCAUGCACAAGGCACUGGGUUCAAUCCUCAGCACCACA